rnacentral:rRNA from 1 species
GCUGGCGGCAGGCCUAACACAUGCAAGUCGAACGGUAACAGGAAUCAGCUUGCUGAUUCGCUGACGAGUGGCGGACGGGUGAGUAAUGUCUGGGAAACUGCCUGAUGGAGGGGGAUAACUACUGGAAACGGUAGCUAAUACCGCAUAACGUCGCAAGACCAAAGAGGGGGACCUUCGGGCCUCUUGCCAUCGGAUGUGCCCAGAUGGGAUUAGCUAGUAGGUGGGGUAACGGCUCACCUAGGCGACGAUCCCUAGCUGGUCUGAGAGGAUGACCAGCCACACUGGAACU